rnacentral:lncRNA from 1 species
AAAAAUAAACAUUAAAAAAAGAAAAAAAGAAAAAGAAAAGGAAAAAGGUUCAGAGAGGUUAAGGAUGUGCUUAAGGUCACACAGCAAAUUCCAAAGUUAUUUAUGCAAGCGCAGCCUGCUUUAGGUGGGGGGAGGGAGGCGACGAACUGGUUAAAAGUUAGCACCAGAGGAGAAAACACAGAGGCAAACGAAAAGAGCCAUUCCACAGAGAGUGGAAUUAGGCUCCGCACAGGGACUUUUGCUCAAACUCGAGGGACUAAGGCUCUCUCUCUCUUCUGGGACUAGUCAACAGAGGACAGAGGAGCCUGGAGUGACCAGAGGCCACCAGGGGAAGGGCACCCACGAGAGAGAAGGCAGCACGGAGGUGAGUGGUGCCAGGUCGAGGAGAAAGCUUCUUGGGAAUGUGGGUUGGGGUCCUGAGUGUUCAGUUACUGGAGUUACUAACACCCUCCCUCACUUGGCUCAGCUCCAGCUGGACUUCUGUCGUUUGCAAAUGAAGGGGCCCUGACUCAUCGAGACAGGAUGCUGUGGCGCUUCGACCUUCAACGGGCCCACCGUCAGCCACUUACGUGUGUCGUGCCCUGCCAUGCACUCCACGUACGUUUGGUCCUUACUGUGACCCGAGUGAGCUCUUAUUGCCACCUUUGUACAAACGGGGAAACUGAGGCUCGGAGAGGGCACCAUGGCCAGACCCAGCAGGGCGCUGGCGCUCCCUCCCUGAGUGCCCGGGCAACCCCUGUUCCCGAGUGCCUCCUCUGUGCCCACCAGGUCCCUCCUCGGGCCUCUGUCCACCUCUGGCCCCGAGCGGGGUGGGCCACUCAGAACCCGCCCGCCGCCCCCGCCCCCGGCCGGGCAUCUCCUGGGCCGGCGGGGACUCCAGGGCCGGGCCUGAGCACAGUCCUUCUUCUCAAGGACACAGGGCUUCGUAAGCCCAGCGGGCGGACGCUCGGGGCAUCUGUGGCGUCGUGGGGGCUCUGAGAAAGAUGGGGAAGGGGAGGCCUCUGGUCUCCUUCCCCCAGGGCCCCUCUUGCCUGGGCCCGGCGGGGGGGGGGGCCGCCCCCCUUCCCCUCCCCCCUGCACCUGCGCGGGCGGGCCCCUGAGCUUUCCUCACCUUCUCCCAUCUGGCUCCCACACUCGCCAAUUUCUUUCUGUUUCCGGACGCUCCCCAACACCCCGUGCCUCACACCCCAACCCUGAUCGCCUCCCUCUCCCGCCUGCCGCUUUCAGUUUUGCCUCAGCUCUGGGGCUCCUCUCUUGCCUCCUUUGGCUCUGUGUCUUUGGGGCACCCCUCCCCUCUCUCUCUCUCUCUCCACCUCUGUCUGCCUCAAUCUGUUUCUCCUCUGUCUUGGAAUCUCUAUCUCUCAUCCGUCUCUCUGUCUCUGUGCGGCUCUCUGUCUCCGAUAGUCUCUCUGUCUCUUUCCUCUCUGUGCCUCCGUCUGUCUCUCAUCUCUCUGUGGUUCUCUGUCUCUCUCUGUGAUCUCUCUCUUGUUCUCUGUCUCCCUCCUCCUCUCCCUGCCCCUCCCUCCCCACAUCCUGAGUUGUCUUUGGGGAACCGGAAAUUUGGGGGAUCAGAGAGAUACUGGGAGGCUCAGCUGCUGCCGCCUAGAGAUAAUGCGUGGGGGGGGGGCGCUGGGGCUGGAUGGGGGUGGGGGAGCCCAGAAUCCCCUGCGUCUUCCUCCUACCCUGGUGCACGCAGAGACAGGCAGAGGAAUUAUGUCCCCUCCCCGGGCCUCGGCUUCCCCUUCUGUGGAGUGGGUCCGAUGAACCACCUCCCUCGUGGGGUUGGUGCGAGCGAGAAGAGAAGUUAAUCGAGAAGUUAAUCGAACAGCCUGGCCAGAGCAGGGGCUCAGGGAGAUUGGGGAUGAGGGACAGAAGCGAGGGCAUGUGCAGGGGAGUCGGCGGGUGAGGCUGACUGGGACUGAGAGGGGCUGAGGGGAGCGUGGCUCCCAGGUGCUCCUGAGCCCGUCUUUUCCCCUCCCUGCACCUCAUUCGUCAUCCCCUCUGUACCACAGUGGGCUUCCGCGUUCAACACCUGCUUGGUGGCACUUUCUCUGCCACACGUCUUGUCUAUACUCCCUGCUUGAACCCUCACAACACCCCUGCGAGGUGGGUACUGUUAUUAUUUUCCAGGUGGGGAAACUGAGGCACAGAGAAGUUGAAUGGUCUGCCCAAGAUCACGCAGCUGGGAACCCUCCACGGGACAGGACUCUGAAUUAGGCCGGUCGUGGCCCAAGUCUGGGGGUGCCGUAUAUGCGCCCAUUUGAAACAGAGGCAGCGUUGGGGCGCCUGGGUGGCGCAGUUGGUUAAGCGUCCGACUUCAGCCAGGUCACGAUCUCGCGG